rnacentral:rRNA from 1 species
UACGUAGGGUGCGAGCGUUAAUCGGAAUUACUGGGCGUAAAGCGUGCGCAGGCGGUUUGCUAAGACCGAUGUGAAAUCCCCGGGCUCAACCUGGGAACUGCAUUGGUGACUGGCAGGCUAGAGUAUGGCAGAGGGGGGUAGAAUUCCACGUGUAGCAGUGAAAUGCGUAGAUAUGUGGAGGAAUACCGAUGGCGAAGGCAGCCCCCUGGGAUAACACUGACGCUCAUGCACGAAAGCGUGGGGAGCAAACAGG